CGCGUAGGCGGUUUGUUAAGUCGGAUGUGAAAGCCCCGGGCUCAACCUGGGAAUUGCACCCGAUACUGGCCGACUGGAGUGCGAGAGAGGGAGGUAGAAUUCCACGUGUAGCGGUGAAAUGCGUAGAUAUGUGGAGGAAUAUCGGUGGCGAAGGCGGCCUCCUGGCUCGACACUGACGCUGAGGUGCGAAAGCGUGGGGAGCAAACA
rnacentral:rRNA from 1 species